UUGCAAUAGGGAUAGUAGCGGCAUCCUUUUGUGAAGCAAAGCGAAACAAAAGAUAUAGCGGAUAGCCUGGCUUUUU
rnacentral:sRNA from 1 species